rnacentral:rRNA from 1 species
GAGUUUGAUCAUGGCUCAGGAUGAACGCUAGCGGGAGGCCUAACACAUGAAGCCGAGGGGUAAAAGAUGAGCUUGCUCAUCUUCAGACCGGCGUACGGUGCGUAACGCGUAUGUAACCUACCCCUAUCAGGGGGAUAGCCCUUCGAAGGAGGAUUAAUACCCCAUAACAUACCUAGAGGCAUCUUUAGGUAUUAAAGCUGAGGCGGAUAGGGAUGGGCAUGCGUCUGAUUAGCUAGUUGGUAGGGAACGGCCUACCAAGGCGACGAUCAGUAGGGGGCCUGAGAGGGUGACCCCCACACUGGGACUGAGACACGGCCCAGACUCCUACGGAAGGCAGCAGUGAGAAUAUUGGACAAUGGGUGCAAGCCUGAUCCAGCCAUCCCGCGUGCAGGAGACGGCCCUAUGGGUUGUAAACUGCUUUUCUUGCGGAAUAAACCUACCUCGUGCAGGGUAGCUGAAGGUACGCAAGGAAUAAGCACCGGCUAACUCCUGCCAGCAGCCGCGGUAAUACGGAGGGUGCGAGCGUUAUCCGGAUUUAUGGGUUUAAAGGGU